UAUAUAAUGAUAUGUACUGUGGAUGCUUUUGUUUCCCGAAGCAACGGCCGUUCAUCUCCACGGCUACGCUCACGGAGUUCGAGCUAGAAACAGAGAGAGAGAUGUCUUCUUCGACGGCGACGCACGCGUACGGUGAGCCAUCCUAUUGGGAUCAGCGUUACAGCGAAGAUCCGGGCCCUUUCGACUGGUACCAGAAGUACAAAACCCUAGCCCCUCUCUUCGAUGUCUACAUCCGUCGUUCCCAUCACCUCCUCGUCGUCGGCUGCGGCAACUCUACACUCGGAGAAGAGUUGGUCUCUGAUGGUUACUUGGAUGUUGUCAACAUUGAUAUAUCAUCAGUUGUGGUUGAGGCUAUGCAGAAGAAACACGAGGACAAACCAGAGCUGAAGUACAUUAAAAUGGAUGUACGGGAUAUGAGUGCAUUUGAAUCUAGUUCUUUUGAUGCUGUUAUUGAUAAAGGAACACUGGACUCUCUCAUGUGUGGCCAGAAUGCACAUCAUAAUACAUCGAAGAUGUUGGAGGAGGUUGGCAGGAUCCUAAAAGACAAUGGUGUCUAUAUCCUGAUUACAUAUGGAGAGCCAAGCUAUAGGUUGCAUUUGUUGAAGGAGCUGCAAUUGUGGACCAUAAAUUUGCAUGUAAUAGAUAGGAUGGAGAAGAAUCCAGAGCAGAGGGCCUGGGAGUUAACCAAACCACUUCCAUUAAGCAAAGAUGGCAACUCAAUCGCUGAUAUUAUCGGCUCAAAUGCUGAAGUUCACUACAUCUAUGUGUGCAUCAAGGAUGAAACUUUGAUACGGCAGGCCAAUGUAAAUGCCAAGCCCGAAGCCGAAGAGAGUAGAUCGUAAAUGCUGCUGCAGCCCUCUCAAACGCAACAUUAGAGUGAUGGCACGGCAUACCUAAGCAUUUGAUCGGGAGGGAGAAAGAAACCUCGAGCGAUUGUGCAAUAGACCCAUGCAAUUGACCAAGAGGAAGACGCUGCGAAUAAUGAACUCUCCCCGCUCACAAGAUCGGCUCUCGACGCGGAAGAAUCUCCCGCUCACGAGAUCUGCCCUGGCCUCGGAAGACUCUCCCCGUUCAGGCGAACGGCUCUCGAUGCUGAAGAAGAAAUGAGCAUUCGAUGUUAAUGAAGCUGCAUGCCAAAGUCUAAUGUCAAAUUAUCCAGAAGUUCAGAGAAUUCACUGCCUAGCUGUAGCUGCAUAUGCGCUUGUUUGAGAUAAGUUCACUUUAUAGAGUUUGAGAUAAAUGACCCUCUUACUUUAUCAAACUCCUCGAUGGCUAUAUUUAAGUAACACUUAUGCUUCUUUAUCCUCUUCUCCAGCUGCUAUAUUUGAUUUAAAUGUAUCAUAUACAUAUUUAAUAAUUUGUCAUUUAAUU